rnacentral:lncRNA from 10 species
GGCUGGCUGCAGGUCCCCAGCCCUGCCACACGGGGAGGCGGCUGAGGCCCAGCAAGAAUUCAAGCUCCGCGGGGGCAGGCCAGCAGUGCUGGGGGACCCGGCGCACCCUCCGCAGCUGCUGGCCCGGGUGCUAAACCCCUCACUGCCCGGGCCGGCGGUGCCGGCGGGCUGCUCUCAGUGCGGGACCUCGGAGCCUGCGCCCACCCGGAACUAGCCGCGUUCAGCCCUGGUUCCCGCCCCCGCCUCUCCCGCCACACCUCUCCACAAGCAGAGGGAGCUGGCUUCAGCCUCAGCCAGCACAGAGAGGGGCCCCCAUAGCGCAGUGGCGGGCUGAAGGGCUCCUUGAGCAUGGCCAGAGUGGACGCCAAGGCUGAGGAGGCGCCGAGAGCCAGUGAGGGCUGCUAGCAUGUUGUCACCUCUCAAUACAUAAAACUACUGGAGGGUGGUUCCAAGAUGGCCAAAUAGGAACAGCUCCAGUCUACAGCUCCCAGCAUGAGUGAUGCAGAAGACGAAUGAUUUCUGCAUUUCCAACUCAGUAGAGAGCUGACUUUAGAGGGAUCAAGAAUAGCUUGCUGGAUGGAAGGAGAGAAACCUCAGGAGGCCCAAAGUUUCUAUCUGUUCGAAGAAGAAUCUGGAAAUGGCUCUGGAUGCCCCAUCCAUAUCAAUUUUGCAGACCCGUCUGGAGCUCUGUUGCAGUGGAAGAAGCUGCAUAGGAGAAAGGAUGAAUGAGAGGGCUGAACACAAGAACACAGAAGGGACUGAAGCCUCCACUUUUCCCCACCUCUGCCUAUUGCCACAGUAUCUGGAU